UAUCUGUCUGUCUAUCUGUCUAUCUGUCUAUCUAUCUAUCUAUAUAAACGGAAAUUGUAUUACAUGUAGAAUAACUAGAGCAACGGUGCUUUUAAUGCGGUGAAAGCAGUUUCUUAUGUUAUAUGUAGUGUCGGUGUAAUUAGAAAGCUUUGUGCUAAACCGGUCCGCGUUGUAUACCUCUAAGGAAUCCGGUAGUUUUUUUUUUUCUUCUUUGAUAAUUGUAUUUAGAUUGUAUUUAGCUAAUCUGUUGCCGCUCUGUUAAUAUAGUCUAUAGAAGUGAAUCGCAACCCACGACUUAUUCCUAUCAUGUGCGCCUAUCGAUUUUGAGAGGAUAUGUCAUAGCUCUAUAUAUGACACAAUGUCAAGACUAUGACCGGAAUGAUUCCGGUUUUGCAGGACGGAUUGUAUUUUAUUGAGUUCAAUUGUCGUGCUGUUUGCUAUGGGAGACUCAAUGGGGAAGCACAGACUUGCAAGUCAAUGUUAAUUUACAGUAAUAAACUGCACUUUUCAUACGUGUAUUUAUGGCCUUUUGAAUAUGGGACUAUAGUCUGAACCUUUCUUUUAAAUGUGUGGCGUCAAGUCUGCACACAUGCGACACAUACCAUCCUGGGCGCCCGCGCUGAAAUACCACGUCGGAUCUUUUCAGAGGACCGAGGUGUAAACCCCCUUUAACAGCUGGAUGGAGCUGCAGGAGUGAGGAAGCUGUAAAUAAAAGUGUCCGACAGCGGGCAGGGCCGCUUCUCACCUUGACUCCUGACCCAGAGGUGUGAGGGGCAAGUGAAGGUCACAGAGGAGGAGAUCUGAGCCUCGGCCAUCUAGAGGAGCUGUGGAGGUGUCAGAGGGGAACAAUAACCCUGCCAGACCCUGCUCUAGCCUUUACAAGACCCCGGGACAUAGGCGCUCCAUUGCAAUUAUAGCAUCAGAGUAACUAGCGAUUCAGAUGACUUCAACCUGCUCUUUAUAUGACCUGAAGGUGCUUCGAGAAGAUGAAUUCCUCCCACGUGGUCUAAACGAGCAGAGUCACCGAGCGGAUCGGGAGGUGUGAAUGUGGAACUGUGACCUUGCAGUGAGCCCUCAGCGUCACCCCUAUCUGUCUGUCUCGGCACUUUACUACCAAACCCCACCCCACCCCACCCCCUCAUCAUCUUUACCAUUCCGUUCCUAUCAUGAAGUGUUGCUUUAGUGCAGUGAACUCGUCAAGGCCAUGGUCACUGAUACAGCCGAGAUGCAGGGUGCAGGGCUCAGAAUGCUGGGUGCAGGGUGCAGGGUUUAGAAUCCUGGGUGCAUGGUGCAGGGAGAAGGGUGCUGGGUGCAGGGUGCAGAGUGUAGGGUGCAGGGUGCAGGGAUCAGAAUGCUGGGUGCAGGGUGCAGGGAUCAGAAUGCUGGGUGCGGGGUGCAGGGUAUAGGGUGCGGGGUGUAGAGUUUAGGGAGCAGGGUGCUGGGUGCAGGGUGUAGAGUUUAGGAAGCAGGGUGCUGGGUGUAGAUUUCAGGGUGCAAGGAGCAGGGUUGCAGGGUGCAAUGCAAUGAAGGAUCUCGUCUGCUGGCCCAAGAUCAGAUAUAUCUGAUAGUCACCUGAUUACCAUGCUGUCCUUAAACCUUAUUCCACCGAUGCACCUCUUGAUGUAAGAAAUUGUGAAGUGCAGAGAUGCUGUACGUUUCAGCUCCUCCUCACGGAGUCAAAGCAAUCUACCCAGAGUUUCCUGAGUGCAAUCCUCCCUGCCAAUCCUGAUUGUACUCAUAUUAUCAGCUCGUUUCACAGUGUAAUUCACUGCUACAGAACUUGUAUCUAUUGUAGGCAGUAAUGAAAGUGAAGGUGAGAGUGCGCCUCCCUUAAGCCUGAAACAGUGGGAGCAUUAGCAUGAAAGCAGGUUUCAAGCUGUUACAUUGCCCUUCCCAGACCUCAACCUUUCUAAUCUUCCGCAGGAGAGAGGCUGGCAUGUGAAUUUGCAACACCACCUUGUGUAAGAAUAUCUUAAGUAGUUGUUGGAAGUUUUUCUUGUUUUAAUUCUAACGUCUCAUUGGGGAAUUUUUUCCCCGUGCUGUAACACUAAAAAAGGAUGUUGAAAAACAAGCUGGGAGGUAAAAUGCAUUGCGAGGAGCAAACCUGCUGAAUAAACUGCUUCACACGGAAUUGCUGACUGUGGAUCUUUUAUAUGAACGCAGGUACACAUUCCA